AGUGAACGCUGGCGGUAGGCCUAACACAUGCAAGUCGAACGGCAGCACAGUAAGAGCUUGCUCUUACGGGUGGCGAGUGGCGGACGGGUGAGGAAUACAUCGGAAUCUACUUUUUCGUGGGGGAUAACGUAGGGAAACUUACGCUAAUACCGCAUACGACCUACGGGUGAAAGCAGGGGAUCUUCGGACCUUGCGCGAUUGAAUGAGCCGAUGUCGGAUUAGCUAGUUGGCGGGGUAAAGGCCCACCAAGGCGACGAUCCGUAGCUGGUCUGAGAGGAUGGUCGGCCACACUGGAGCUGAGACACGGUCCAGACUCCUACGGGAGGCAGCAGUCGGGAAUAUUGGACAAUGGGCGCAAGCCUGACCCAGCCAUACCGCGUGGGUGACGAAGGCCUUCGGGUUGUAAAGCCCUUUUGUUGGGAAAGAAAAGCAGCAGGUUAAUACCCCGCUGUUCUGACGGUACCCAAAGAAUAAGCACCGGCUAACUUCGUG
rnacentral:rRNA from 1 species